UAUAUGAUGAAAUUUUUUGGUCCGUGUUGUUGAUUGACAGUGAUUAUAACUUAACCAUAUCUGACGUUU